rnacentral:rRNA from 1 species
CUGUUUACCAAAAACAUCGCCUCUUGCAAAUCAAAGCAUAAGAGGUCCCGCCUGCCCUGUGACUAUGGGUUUAACGGCCGCGGUAUUUUGACCGUGCGAAGGUAGCGCAAUCACUUGUCUUUUAAAUGAAGACCUGUAUGAAUGGCAUCACGAGGGCUUAGCUGUCUCCUCUCCCAAGUCAAUGAAAUUGAUCUGCCCGUGCAGAAGCGGGCAUAAGUACAUAAGACGAGAAGACCCUAUGGAGCUUUAGACACCAGGCAGAUCACGUCAAGUAAACUUAAAUUAACAAGUAAAAACGCAGUGACCCCUAGCCCAUAUGUCUUUGGUUGGGGCGACCGCGGGGGAAAAUAAAGCCCCCAUGUGGACUGGGGGCACUGCCCCCACAGCCGAGAGCUACAGCUCUAAGCACCAGAAUUUUUGACCAAAAAUGAUCCGGCGAACGCCGAUCAACGGACCGAGUUACCCUAGGGAUAACAGCGCAAUCCUCUCCCAGAGUCCCUAUCGACGAGGGGGUUUACGACCUCGAUGUUGGAUCAGGACAUCCUAAUGGUGCAGCCGCUAUUAAGGGUUCGUUUGUUCAACGAUUAAAGUCCUACGUGAUCUGAGUUCAGA